rnacentral:rRNA from 1 species
AAUUCGAUGCAACGCGAGAACCUUACCUGGUCUUGACAUCCCGGAGACCCUUAGGAAACUAGGGGUGCUUCCAUCUGGAAGAAUCUGGAGACAGGUGCUGCAUGGCUGUCGUCAGCUCGUGUCGUGAGAUGUUGGGUUAAGUCCCGCAACGAGCGCAACCCUUGCCUUUAGUUGCCAGCAGUUCGGCUGGGCACUCUAAAGGGACUGCCGGUGUUAAACCGGAGGAAGGUGGGGAUGACGUCAAGUCCUCAUGGCCUUUAUGACCAGGGCUACACACGUACUACAAUGGCCGAUACAAAGGGCAGCGACACUGCGAGGUGAAGCCAAUCCCGUAAAAUCGGUCUCAGUCCGGAUUGGAGUCUGCAACUCGAUUCCAUGAAGUUGGAAUCGCUAGUAAUCGUGGAUCAGCAUGCCACGGUGAAUACGUUCCCGGGCCUU